rnacentral:rRNA from 1 species
GAUGAACGCUGGCGGCGUGCCUAACACAUGCAAGUCGAGCGGCAGCGCGAGUAGUUUACUACUUGGCGGCGAGCGGCGGACGGCUGAGUAACGCGUGGGAACGUGCCCCAAAGUGGGGGAUAACUGCCCGAAAGGGUGGCUAAUACCGCAUAUGAUCUUCGGAUUAAAGGAUUUAUCCGCUUUGGGAGCGGCCCGCGUACGAUUAGAUAGUUGGUGAGGUAACGGCUCACCAAGUCGACGAUCGUUAGCUGGUCUGAGAGGAUGACCAGCCAGACUGGAACUGAGACACGGUCCAGACUCCUACGGGAGGCAGCAGUGAGGAAUCUUCCACAAUGGGGGCAACCCUGAUGGAGCAACGCCGCGUGCAGGAUGAAGGCCUUCGGGUUGUAAACUGCUUUUAUAAGUGAAGAAUAUGACGGUAACUUAUGAAUAAGGAUCGGCUAACUACGUGCCAGCAGCCGCAGUAA